rnacentral:rRNA from 1 species
UACGUAGGGUGCAAGCGUUAAUCGGAAUUACUGGGCGUAAAGCGUGCGCAGGCGGCUUUGCAAGACAGAUGUGAAAUCCCCGGGCUUAACCUGGGAACUGCAUUUGUGACUGCAUGGCUGGAGUGCGGCAGAGGGGGAUGGAAUUCCGCGUGUAGCAGUGAAAUGCGUAGAUAUCUGGAGGAACACCGGUGGCGAAGGCGGCAUCCUGGACCAACACUGACGCUGAGUGAGCGAAAGCCAGGGGAGCAAAGCGGG